CUUUUGGUAUGUAUUGCCCCCUAACUAUAGAUCAGAUCCACCGGACCAGAAACUCAAUUCCGCACUGCUGCUGAGUCGUCGGACUUAUCCAUCUCAGGGAUUCGUGGAAUUUCCGUUUUUGAAUUGCGUUGGGGGAAAUCUACCAAAGCUAGGCAGAUAGAUAGACUCCUUUCCCGCUGCUAAGGGAGAGCAAGAACUAAAUCAAAUGAUUGUUUUUUUUCACCAGCGCCCUUUUUUGCGGGUACUAAGAGUCCUCUCACUACCAACCAACAGACAUCAUCAUCUGGCUGGGUCUUGCCGGUAUCAACAACGAGAAAGAAGAACCAAAUGGAAAUAGCAACUAACUAUGGCUCUUGGCCCAGACAACGUCCUGGGCGUAGGGGAGAUCAAAACAAGAAGUCACGCCUAGACGACGACGCCCGUCCUGGGUUGCAGUAAGUAGAUCGAGAGGUCGUUCCGCCCCUUGUCCCCGAAGAUGGGUAAUAUGUUCUCAUACAAUGUUGCUCCAACUUUUUUCUAGAGGGCCUAGCUGGCGAGCGAUCCCAGUCCGCGGCAGAGAACAAGACAGCAAGCGAGCGUACCUUUGUUCACUUCUUUUCCACCAAGCACAGAAGUUUAAGGAGAACUGUAGGUCGGUGGCUACCUAAGGAAACUCCGAUUUGAUCCGCCCCCCCGGCUGGGACGCAUCUACCUCAUCCCGAUCACAAGGAGAGGUUCACCAUGAUGGGGGGUCAGGUACUUUAAUUCUUUGCGUUCCGGAAAGAAUGAAAUGCAUAGGGGACCAUCCUUUUUUUUGUGGCAUGCUCUCUGUUUUACGGAUUCACAGGGGGCCGAGGGCCAACCUUAGUUGAUUGACAAUGACAAAGGCUUGCGAAACAAAGUAGCGCCUUUGAACUGGAAUCUUAAUUAACUAUCAGUGGUGCGAAGCAGCUUAGCCCCGGGGAGCUAAAGGUUAUACCUUUGUAAGCGAACUGUGGUUCUUCUAUGUAGGGUAUUCCUCCUUUACUCUCUUAAUUAACGUCGAGCUAAGUGACUUUGUGUAGCAUAGUAGAAUGAAGGCUACGUACGCACUGACACUCUCUUAUCCCUAAGCCUCUUCGCUAACUCGCUCGCCUACAAAAAUGAGUAGGCGAGGCUAGGCAAACUCAGCGCUGACUUUGAAUGUACUGUAGUAGACUUUCUAGCCUUUUAUUUUAGAACCCUUUCUCAUGUUCUUUCAUCCAUCAAGUAGGCGAACCGUCAGGUCCUUAGUAGCGUUGACAAAGAAGAAGAGCCGGUGAAAAAAAAGCUAGAAUUUCCAAUAGUGAGACCAGCUUGACAAGCUACCUUUCCUCUUGAUAUGAGGUGCGAAGAGAAACAUCUCUUUUUUAUGACUUCCACUUCUCGAUCCCGGCCCGGGAAAGUGACCGACCCCUUGAUGAAUGAAUGAAAGGGUUUCUGAGCCCUAGCCCUGUAAGCCCACACCUGUGUAGAGUAGAUCGUUCAACACCUGCGGCACAAACCCAUUUUUGACCAAUUGGUCUGUAUAUCAUAGGCGACUGAACGGCCGCCCCCCGUCUUACUAGACCAACCUACUAUAAUUAUUCCAUAAACACCUAGCGAAGAUAUGGCAAACAAAUAAAGUGGCCCUAUGUUCGGAUCUGACAAUACCAUACCAUAAUCAAAAGGUACAACGACCCAAGCGACCAGACUUAACAUAAAUGUAGCCACUGGAGCCAUUCUAAAAAGGGAGAAAUUAGCACUACUUGGUGAAAUAGGUUCUUUUAGAAUAAAUUUCAAACCAUCUGCUAGAGGUUGUAACAAUCCGAACGAUCCCACCACAUCAGGACCCUUUCGACGUUGCACAAAAGCCAUUACUUUACGUUCGGGUAGCACUAAAAAGGCUACUCCUAGUAGAAGUGGUAGAAUUAAACAAAGUAUUUCCACUGGAACAGCUAUGUAUGUUUUCGAUUUUCUAUUCACUCAUGAUCGGGCCUGACCUGGUCGACCCGAUCAAACUAUUUCACUUAUGAUCUGGCCUGGUUGACCCAAUCAUGAUAUUGAAGGAUGGGACCUUUUAUCGAAAAACUCCGGAUCCCGAGAAGUUUUGAAGAUGGUUCUCCUGUUACGUUACUUCGAAUGGAAUCCUCACUUGACUAAGCAUAAGCGAAAACGUGGCUGAGAGUAAGCAAUCCCCUUUCCUAGUGGUUGAGUCAUGAUCAGAAAUAUUGCGAAAGAAAGUGAAAUGUCCUAUCGUCGUCCCAAUUUGGGUAAUCCACGAUGUCUCCAUUUUAUGUAUCCAUCUUGACUCGUUUUCGGUGUAUCGAUAGUUCGUUGUAUUACACUUUGAACUAACCUAGAGGCCGUGCUUAGGCGAAAAUCGAUAUCAGUGAAGUAAUCCCGGAACUCUAGAAAUCGUGAAAAAUUUAUUCCAUUUUGUUAAAUAUCGCGAAUAUAGUGGAAAAAACUCUAGAACAUUCCUUUGAAUGGAAUUGUUCAUUGGGUUUGACUUGUUGUUCGACAAAAUAGAAAGCUGUCUCUCGUAUGUUAUUGUAAGGUGAUUCAUUCAUAAUAUUUCUUAUGUGCGGUUUCAAGAUGCUAAAAAAGUAGAUUUGGUAAUCGGCUUUUGAGCUCCAUUAUGUGGACUUCAUCAAUUUGUGAAUUAUGGACUUGGCGGUAGUGGUCAAUACUAACUGCACCGUCUAAAUGCUCCGUGACCAAGUUUGCGUACUCGUCAGGGUUGAGUUGAGGGGGCAGCCCGUGCGCUAAUUGGGCUUCGAGGUGGCUAUACGCGAAAAAAGCUCGCUUUCUACUCAGGCCUGUUCUGUCCUAAACUGUUCCAGAAUGUUAUUUGUUUCAUAGGAAGAUUCCAAAAGCACAUUGAUGCCGAAAGAAUCUUCGGAACCGGUGGAGAGGCUAUUCUGAUUGAAGGCUAGACAAAUAACAUGACUGAGGUAUGUAAAUAAAACCUGUGAAAUAGCUAUAUAAUAUGACCUAAAUAUAGAAGAAUACCAAAGAUAAUGGAUUGCAAAAUAAGCUUUUUAGCUUUCUUUUUCUUUUGUGCGCGCUUUUCGCCUGCCUUCCCGACCGCGGAUAGGCUACGGGGCUUUGCACUUCGGCCCCAUUGUGUGAAUACCACAUCAAGGUGACAGGAUUCGAACCUAUGGCCCUCUGUACCCAAAACAGAUGCACUGACCAGACUGCGCUACACCUCGUCUCCCCCUCAGAACAUAUGGAUCUACCCGAUCCAUAAAGAAAAGAACCACCGCUUUUAGGAAAUUUUUACAAUUCUCUUUCACUUGCAUUUUCUUUCGUGAAGGCUCGCUCUCGUUCUUCUUACAUCUUGCCCUUUUUUCUUUCAAAUUGUAUCUGUGGCUACUGCUGUUUUGCCAGUCUGUCUGUCCCCAAUAAUGAACUCUCGCUGAUGGCGCCCUAUAGGGAUCAUCGAAUCGAUAGCAAUUCUAAAUGUUUGAAGGGGUUCAUAUACAGAACGCCUGGAAAUUCUACCCAGAGCGGGAGAUUCAAUUAAGCGAGAUUCCGAAGCUACAAUUUCGCCUCUCCCAUCAAUAGGUUUAGCCAGAGCAUUUAUAACACGACCCAAGUUAUAUACGCUCACGGGUAUCUGAGCAAUUCUUCCUGUUGCUUUUACAAAACUUCCCUCUUGAUGCUAAACCAUAGCUCUAACUGAGUCAAAUUCCACAAUUUCUAAGAACGAUAUGCUUUUUUUCAUUUUCCACUGUGAAAGCUUCUCUCAAUCCCUCCCUAGUCCUUUCUUUCCUGGGCACAGGCUUACCUGGUUGACCGCCCACAUUCAUUCAUUGUUCGUUCUGUUGUGGAAUCGAACCACAGAGCUAGCGCAAUUGGGAUUUAGAGUCCCAUGCGUGAAACUAAAGAGGAUUUUCAGUCCUCUGCUCUACCAGCCAGAACCUAGAAGGACACUUCACACCCGAUUUGACACAGCUAGACUGGAAACACUGCUUGUCAAGAGCACAGACCCCAGUAUAGAAUACUUUUUUGAGUAUGUUGGUAAGGUCCGGUCAUCCGCUUCUGUGCUUGCACUUCUGCGUAACUAGGGGUGCAAGUCCAGUACAGCGUACUUUCAUAAUUGAAUCAAAAGCGUCGAUACAUGAAAAAUCUCUAUAUACGAUAUUUAUGACACAGAAUGUUGUUCUUUCAACAUGAUUCCUCAACAAUUUUUUCAUUGUAACGGACUCUCCGUUCUCUCCGUUCCACUUUGGUUUUCGAUUAAUAAUUACCAUGAUGAAUUUCUCUUACUGCUUGGUUCCGCAUUGGAUUUUGGAAACUUCUGUUUAGAAAGUGGUGUCACGACCGUGGGGAUCAAAUGGAUGGUUCAGGAAAGUCUAGUGAAGCGGCACGGUCUAAUCAUAUAGAUGACCAUAGUGGUAUGGUUCCAUAGAAAACUACUGGAGGCCAUUACCGCCACCGAAAUGGUUUCCAUGCUCCGUUGGAUGAUUUGACGAUAUCGCAGUAUCAAGCUAGAACGGUUUCAAUUUGUAGGAUGGGAAAGAAACCUCAUCCUUUGGUGCACACUAACCGAUGAAGCUCAACCCUCUCUCGAACUGAGCUAUUUCCGCUUUUUCUAACAAAAAGUUCGAGUAGUUCAGUGAAAAAACGGUCAAGCUUUCUUCCAUCCUUCCUAGCUCCUCGAGCUUGCACCCGCUCGACGCCUUUUUCAUUGUUCGUUCUGAGGUGGAUUUGAACCACUCUCUCUGUUUGGAUUUCGAGUCCAAAAGGCCCGGCGAAAGAGGAUUUUCAGUCCUAUGCCGGCUCCCAGCCAGAACCAAUAUUUCUCUGUUAUAUUCUGUUUUUUCUUUGUCAGCUAGCACAAUUUGGAUUUCGAGUCCAAUGCGCUAACGCUUUCUUUAGUUUUAUUGCUCUUUCUCCGGGCUUUGACCAUGUCUCCCGAACAAUUUCAGUACAUAUGGCGCAAGACGAUUCCACAUAUAUAUCGAGGUCGGAAUGGGAUCGGGUGUUUUCACGUCUCACCGUAGUGCCCGGUU
rnacentral:lncRNA from 1 species